AGCGGCUGUCGCGCUUUUUCGGGCCUUCGCUGGCCGCCUGGUCACCUGAGGCUGCUCUUUUGAAGAAUUAUUUCACAGGUUACAGAAGUCUAGGGCUCGGGCUUUGCUUGUGGUUAGUCAUGUGCAAAACAGAAUGAAAACUUCCACUGUCAACUUACAUUGAUUCCCAUCUGCCAUGAAUGCUUGCACAUAGAUACAUGUGAGGACCUCCUGCUGGUAAUAUGCUCUGCAGCAGCAUCAGAGAAGCCAUGGAGUAUAAAAGAAAGACCACUGGAGAUGGUGCGCACUUGAGGUUUCUUUAUGAAAUUUCGAAGAAACGUGUCAGUUUCUAUUUUCACACUGAGAUAAAAAGGCAUUUAAUUCAAGUUGGUUAAAAGAUGUCCAGCAGUCUAUGGGUACAUAUCAGCUGUACUUGUAAAUCACGUUUCCAUGCAACCCAUAUCUGGUCAAGUAGCAAUUUGAAAACUGGUUGACAUGGUGAUAAUAUUUUUGUUAUGCAAUUGAGAUGUCUAAAAAUAGU